GCAGAGCUCCGCCCCAGCCCAAAGCUCGCCAGUCCGCUCCGCUCCGCUUGCUGCAGCAACUCUCAGUCAUCCCUCUCCUCCACUCACGAAACAAAGCCCCGGCCAUCGACCCUCUCCCUGAGCCACUCUGCGCCAAGAAUCGAUUCCGGAGGAGAGUCCGGAGGAACCAGGAGACCAGGAAGCCGCCGCCACCGACGCGUACGUAAGCGAAGGCAAGUCUCAUCGAUCCUUUACGUUGACCAUGCUUGAUCCUAAGUGAGGUUAACUAAAACUUGAUAGACAUAGGGAUGGCAUGAGAUGAAACACUGAGAGAAUGAGAGAAACCACUGAAUGAAGCCAUGUUGCAUGUUGAUUUACUGCCAGACCUGCAUAUUAUCAGAUCUUGUUAAAUGAUGAAACUGGGUUGGUAAUGAGAUCAAGGCAGUGCGGGAUGUGUUGGUGCAUGCGCUACCGUGGUGGUAGACAUGCGACCGAGCUCUGUCGUGGUGACAUCUCGGGUUUGGUUGGUUAUGGUUGUGGCUGCCCUGAUGAACCUUAAGGACCGUGUGUUGUGGUGCCAUCUCACCUAACCUACUUUCAGUACGACCACAUGAGCUUGUAUGGGCAAGCCUUAGCCUAAUCCCACUGGCUAACCUGGUAGUCGUCCGAGGUGGUUAUGUUUGGGGGUGAGACCUGGAUUGGUCAAGACCCGGGGGUUUAUGGGCGACUAGUCGGGGUUGAGCCACGGCUGGGUGUCGGCUAUGACGGAGCCGUCGCUGGACGGUGAAGUGCGUGUGGGUAAAGCGUACAACCUCUGCAGAGUGUACAAUCCAUUCGAAUGGUCCGUGUCCUCGGUUUGGACAGGUUACGGUGUGGACAUCUCAACUAGUUGAGCCACCUAGCCUAUGAGAUGGAUGAUUGGUUGGGUUACCUUUAAUACUAUAUUUGUUAUUUAUUCUGAUGGAUUAAUGGACCUUGGCAUAUUAAUCUGUAACUCCCUCCCCGUAAGGGUGAGGUGGGACUUGCUGAGUACUUUCGUACUCAACCCUUGUUGAUUAUUUCUUUUCAGAGGAUCCUGACUUUGUGCCAGAAGAUUACGAGUAGAUCGCGUCCGCACCCAAGGUGAUCGAGUGGAGCCGUGAUGGACGAAGAGCUAGUCUUGCAUGUCGUUAUGCUAGUUGUGAUCCUGUGGUUAUUCUGUGUAGCGCUGUGUUGUCACUUUACCCCUCAUGUACGUGUUAAAUAAAGCUCUGUAUGACUCUGGACUCCACUUGAUGUAACAUGUAUUAUGCCGGAGACCUUAUUCGGUAAUUAAUACAUGGUUUAGCCUUGAUCUUCGGGUCGGGGCGCUUCACCUACCUAACCAGCGAAUCAUCUUGGAGAA